CAUAGUUCUUCCGCAUAGUGGAACUAUUAAAGAACUUCGGUCAUCGAUGGGGAUGCGUUCCAUUAGGUUGUUGGCGGGGUAACGGCCCACCAAGCCUUCGAUGGAUAGGGGUUCUGAGAGGAAGGUCCCUCCACAUUGGAACUGAGACACGGUCCAAACUCCUACGGGAGGCAGCAGUGAGGAAUAUUGGUCAAUGGACGAGAGUCUGACCCAGCCAAGUAGCGUGAAGGAUGACUGCCCUAUGGGUUGUAAACUUCUUUUAUACGGGAAUAAAGUGAGGCACGUGUGCCUUUUUGUAUGUACCGUAUGAAUAAGGAUCGGCUAACUCCGUGCCAGCAGCCGCGGUAAUACGGAGGAUCCGAGCGUUAUCCGGAUUUAUUGGGUUUAAAGGGAGCGUAGGCGGACGCUUAAGUCAGUUGUGAAAGUUUGCGGCUCAACCGUAAAAUUGCAGUUGAUACUGGGUGUCUUGAGUACAGUAGAGGCAGGCGGAAUUCGUGGUGUAGCGGUGAAAUGCUUAGAUAUCACGAAGAACUCCGAUUGCGAAGGCAGCCUGCUGGACUGUAACUGACGCUGAUGCUCGAAAGUGUGGGUAUCAAACAGGAUUAGAUACCCUGGUAGUCCACACA
rnacentral:rRNA from 1 species